rnacentral:lncRNA from 13 species
UUUCUUUAUUUGACCAUUUUUAAAGCAAUUACAUGCUUUUCUAGUUGGAAAUGUUUAAAAAUCAUUUUGUUCUUCACUCUCAUAGGAUGUCGUCAUCAUCAUCAUCGUCAUCGUCGUAUUUAUUGAGAACUUACUAUGUGCCCGGCACUGUUCUAACUGUGCUCUGUGCUCUUCUGUUCUUCUUGCAACAUUCCUGCAACAUAGCUCCUGAGAGCCAAGCUCUGAGAUAGAUGCCGGACCUUUGGAGGUGAAGAAGCAGAUACGGAUCCUGGACUCACAGAGAUGACAGUCUCCCCACCUAGAACUGGACACCUGAGUCAGGAUGGCAAAUAGGUUUCAACUCAAAUACCAGUCCAUCGGCAGAGGAUGCCUGCACCUCUGUGUUGGGAAGGAUUUAGUAUCGGUCAGAAUUCAGGUUAGACUAUGGUAACAAAGAGACCCCAAAAUAUAGUGGUUUAAAUGAGACUGAAAUUUAUUUUAUUGCCACUUUAAAAUCUUGAAGUAGAUCACCAGGGCAGCUAGGACUGCCCUUGUGUCCACUGCCCCUGGAGGUUUCAGAGGAUUCAAACUUCUAUCUUGAUGCUCCAAGAAAAUGAAGCACUAUUACCCUAUGUGUCCUCAAGCCAGUGGAAAGGGGAAGGGAAUAAACGUGGCCCAUUUGUUUCA